rnacentral:snRNA from 1 species
AUAUUUUUGAUGUAUUUGUAACUAGCAUAAAUAAAAAACUCUGUUCUUAUCAGCUUAAUAUCUGAUACGGGUUCUAUAUGGACCCACGAUAUUAAACCUAUUUUUGGAAGUUGGCGGAGUGCUUGAAGCCUGCUUCACCUCCGCCGCAGGUCGGCCCGGUAUUGCACUACCUCCGGGAUCGUUCCCGCUCAC